GGCCUUGUGGUGAAGUUCAUGGUGAGUUGCAAGCUCAUUGAUGUGCGUUAGUUACGCGCCGGGGCCU
rnacentral:tRNA from 1 species